rnacentral:misc_RNA from 1 species
GCAAAAGCUGCAGCAAUGGCACUUGUUCAACACCCAGUCGUGAAUGCCAGCUGCAAAGAUGGGAAAAGUUUUACCUAUAACAGUAACGUUAACAUUGCAGUGGCAGUGGCAAUCAAUGGUGGGUUGAUAACCCCUGUUCUUCAAGACGCAGAUAAGUUGGAUUUGUACCUUUUGUCACAAAAGUGGAAAGAGUUGGUGGAGAA